GUUCAACCUUGUGUUAACCCUUUUCUACCAGCACAAAAAUAGCUGGUAGAAAAAUCCUCCAAGACCUGCCCCCUGGAAAAGCCCCGCCCCGGUAGGAAAGAGGUCCAAGCCCCCCCAGACACCCAGCACUUGCUGACAACAAGUGCUUCAAAAACAGCACUUAGUUCUCCUGCAAACUGAAUGUAAAUUGAUGAUUUUGAAGUGUGAGUGCAUGGAAGGAUCUCACAGAUCAACAUGUGGUCCAGCCACCUCUGCUGCCCCAGCCUCACCUCCAGCUGAGACUCAGAAGAACAAAACAAAGAACGCUUCGUGGUGGCGCAUGAAGUCUGAGGAUGUUCUGGAGAAGGACUCAGCAGGUCCGAAGCCUCCAGUCUCAGCUGUACCUGAUAAAGAAGCCGUGGCAAGGUCAAAAUGCAGACAGCUACACUGACCUGGUCCUUUCUUCCCUGAACACCCGCGUUCAUCUGCUUAAAUAGUCAAUUCACCCUGGACUAUUCCAUUUGGUUAACCAGGAAGUUAUAAAUACAGGAAGUAAAACUACAUUUCCUCUCUUUGUUCCUAGAACACAGUGCAAAACAUAAACAAACCUGGGAUAGUAGAUGUUUGCCUGGUGCAGACUACAUAUGAGAUGGGGCUAAAUCAAAACAAGAAUGUUAACUAAGGAUAUGGACAAGUGGUAUUCUCACCCACUUUGUCACACUCUCCUCACACUGAGAGUCAUUACUGAGGAGCUCUGCAGCCAGCUGCAGCUGUGGAGGUUUCACCCAGAGUGCCAGCUCAUCAGUCAGUUUGUGGACAUCAAAUUGAGCCGCUUCAACAACGACAGCUGGAACAAAAGCUCUGUCCUGACUGCUUUUAAAGACACGGUCGCUGUGUCUCAUCCAGAGUUUGACGACGACGAUCAGAAAGAUGCCCACGAGUUCCUCGUCUGUGCUCUGGACGUGCUCCAGUGUGAGUUCUCUAAGCUGCAGGCAGAAGCAGCUGCCUUGGACAAACCUUCCAUCUGUCCAGUUAGAGCUCACAUUGGCUUCACGAUGUUGAGAAUACAGUUGUCUGUAAUCCUGGAGUGGUGAGCUCGGACACUAUGCUUGACAUUUGCUCAGAGAGGACAAAACAACAAUAAAGCACACCAGUCUGUGGUUGUGAAUGCUUGCAAUUAAUUGUUAGGAGAUGGACUAAGCCCAGAUCAAGUAUCAUGUUUCACAUACUUUAUACUGUCACAAGGUUGUACAAACCUUUUUGCCAAGAUUUAAAACAAAUGUUAUUAUUUAUGCAUCUACAAUGUGCAUCUGACUGAUGAGUGACGAAACGUUUCUCCCACUGAAAACGCAACGUCCAGAUGAACAGAAUCAACCUUUUGGGAUUUACUAUCCUGGAUAACUGAGCAUGCAUCAAGACAUAUAAUGUGCUUAAAUUUUUGGAUGUGGAAAUUAUAUAGUGUAUUUAUUUUCAUAAUCACAAUGAUACUGACUGAAAUACUGACCAGUAUUCAGGUUUUUUAAUUGUUGUUGUGUCCACACACUUCAGGAGCUGCCACUGGUGUCAUUUUACUUGGGCCAGCACAGCUCAGUGUCCCUGACGUUCUGACCAAGAAGCCCUAAUGUAGCUACACACACACAAAAACCAAACAACAACAAAAAACCUUAUUGCUGAUUUAGGUGAUUAUUUCUUGCACAUAAACUUUCUCCACAGCGCUCCAUUAAGUGUUAAAUAAGUAUCCGGAUCAUGCAUCUUUCAUGUAUGGAUAUGUGCUGGUUUUCUUCAAGACUGGUAACCAAAGAUAUCCCGCUCAGGUGCACCUUAUGGAUGUGUAACAUGGUAGACUAAUGUGCCUGUGUUAAUUCAGGUCAUAUUAUUGUGUGAAGUUGCACUGGGUUGGGAGUGUGUGUGUGUGUGUGUGUGUGUGUGUGUGUGUGUGUGUGUGUGUGUGUGUGUGUGUGUGUGUGUGUGUGUGUGUGUGUGUGUGUGUGUGUGUGUGUGUGUGUGUGUGUGUGUGUCACAUUUUUGCUGAGCCAAUGGCUGGAAUGGGGUUGGACUAAUUAGAGGCAGGUGUACUUGAUUGCACUGAUACACUGGUCUACUUAUAGCCCACACUACAAACACUGCUGUGUCAUUUUGUCUCUCUGUGCAGGCCAGGGCCUAUUAUAUGCCACAGCCUAAAGGCAGCAGAGUUGCAGAGGCUGGAGUGACCACUGGCUAUAUGCUUGCAGGGUGGUGGGUCUCAGAGGACAACUUCUAACCCCGUUGAAGGCAACAUGUGGAGUGCAACUGACAGUGUGGCAUAGCUGGCUCUGGCCUUGGGACUGUGUGUUUUAUUUGAUUCAUAAAGG
ensembl:lncRNA